rnacentral:rRNA from 1 species
UACGGAGGGGGCUAGCGUUGUUCGGAAUUACUGGGCGUAAAGCGCACGUAGGCGGCUUUGUAAGUUAGAGGUGAAAGCCCGGGGCUCAACUCCGGAACUGCCUUUAAGACUGCAUCGCUUGAAUCCAGGAGAGGUGAGUGGAAUUCCGAGUGUAGAGGUGAAAUUCGUAGAUAUUCGGAAGAACACCAGUGGCGAAGGCGGCUCACUGGACUGGUAUUGACGCGUGAGGUGCGAAAGCGUGGGGAGCAAACAGG